UGGAGAUAGAAUGGGAUUUGUUCGCCUUUUUAAAUAUCCCUGUACAGAUUCUAAGGCUGCCUGUUACGAACAAAAUCAUGGAAGUUUUGAAAUCACUUCGGUUCGUUUUCUAGCAGAAGAUAAAUAUUUAGUUUCAACCGGUUCAGACGGAGUUCUACUUUGGAGAUUAGAACCUACUUAUCAAUAAAAUAACUCGAUUUUCUUUGGGAUAAAUAAUAAAUGUCUGGAAAUUAAACAUAGCCACUCAAUUUCUGAAAGAUUUUCGUGGACAGGUUUUAACAUUUUUAUAUAAAAGAUGUCUCAAAAAGUACGUAUACACUUUGAUGCUGAUGAAUAGUACAUUUUUUUAAAUUUUAUAGAGAAGUAUGAAUUAUAUAGCUCAGUUAUUGUAUAGCCUUAUUUAUGCACCUUUAGGACACAUUUUCCAAAUAGUGCACCGUUGGUGUUCGUGUAUUAUUAGUAUUCUUGAAUAAAUGGUAUGAAAGUCUGUCUAGAUUGUUGCAAACACUCUUCAAUUAUUUGCUAGAUAAAUAGGCAAUAAAGAAAUGUACUAUUGAGAAUGUGUAAAGAAGCAAACAGUUAAAAAUUAGCUCCAAAAAUGAUAAGAUUUUUACUUAAAAACAAAAUAUGUAUGAAAGUGUGUAUAUAUAGUUUUGAGACACCUUGUAUUAUACAUUAGAUUCUAGAUAUACAGUAGUGAAGUCUGAAAGGACUGAUUCGUGAGCUAAAUCAUUCACUAUAUCGAGUGUCACUCGACUAUACUGUAUGUAUAAUAUAUUUUUUCUCGUUUUAA